CAGGUCUGGCAGCUGGGGGGAGGAGGCGCUCAGGCCCUCGGGAAGGCCCCGAUGGGGGCCUCCAAUCCCCCUCCCUGACCCUCUAAAUCGAUCAGCAGUGACCCUGGCCCUCGCCCCGCCGCGUCUGAUCUGAGGAGGCCCCCUCCCCGCCCGUCGCGCCUCCUGGGGUGACCGCUGCCCCGUCUCCCCCCGCAGGCAGCCCCGGGCCACGACCCCGCAUCGCCUGGACCAGGUGUUGUGUUUCUGGGGCUGCCGAGGCCCGGUCCUGCCGGCGCCCGCCUCCCGCCGCAGCCUGGCCGACCACUGGCUGAGCCCGCAGCGCCGCGCCGCCGGGCGCCGCCUGCUGCUGGCCGGCGCGCAACCUGCUGCCCCCACCGGGGGCCACCAGCCGGGCCAGCCGCUGCGGAGCGCGCCCGCGCCUCCCGUGGAAGCACCAGUGGCAGAAUAUUAACUACCAACUCCUGGGCAAGAGGAAGAGCCAUCUGGUUCCCCUGCGCCCGUGAGAGCGAAUGUGAGGAAACAGGCUCCAGGUUCAUCACAUGGUGGUCCCAAGGCCGACUUGUGCAAGCCAGGAUGACAGGAGGACGGCGUGGGAGCACUGCUCAAUCCCGUAGCCCUUCCCUGUGGCUGAAGAUGAUCCACCUUCGCCCUGUCUCCUGAGGUCUCCGUGUUUCUGCCCUUCACGGCCCAAAUAAAGCAGCUUUUGCCUCUCUCUGGCCCUCUCCA
rnacentral:lncRNA from 1 species